UGAUGGUUGUGCUAUUUGAUGUAAUUGUAUAUGAAUUAAUUAAUAAAAUAUUUAUUUGAUAAUUUUUAUCAUAAGUUUGUACAUCUUCUAUAUCGAACGUCUGUGUUAUGAUGAAAGUCCUUAGGACUAUUUUAAAUCGAUAAAGGAGGAUUUAUCGUUUAGUCCUUAAAUGAGUUCGUGACCAAAUGAUAUGCUAUUAUUAGGACGAUAGACAUACCAAGUGUAGGUCGUUGUGUGCCAUAUAUCGUUGGUCAUCCUCUUAACCAAAGAGUGUGAAGACGCUGGUAUGGCAUACAGAUAAAAUAUAGGAGUAUAUUUCAUGAAAUGUGACCAACUCUGGAGCACCCUACUGUCAAGAGUCACUCCGAAGGUAUAUGGGUAUAAGUGUCCCUC
rnacentral:lncRNA from 1 species